AACGCGAAGAACCUUACCUGGGUUUGACAUCCUCUGACAAACGGAGAGAUCCGUCUUUCGUAGCAAUACGACAGAGAGACAGGUGCUGCAUGGCUGUCGUCAGCUCGUGUGGUGACAUGUUGGGUUAAGUCCCGCAACGAGCGCAACCCCUGUCCUUAGUUGCCAGCAUUCAGUUGGGCACUCUAGGGAGACUGCCGUGGUGAACACGGAGGAAGGUGGGGAUGACGUCAAGUCCUCAUGGCCUUUAUAUCCAGGGCGACACACGUGAUACAAUGGACGGUACAGAGGGUAGCGAAGGAGCGAUCUGGAGCUAAUCCCAAAAAGCCGUUCUCAGUUCGGAUUGGAGUCUGCAAUUCGACUCCAUGAAGUUGGAAUCGCUAGUAAUCGCGGAUCAGCACGCCGCGGUGAAUACGUUCCCGGGCCUUGUACACACGUGUCGA
rnacentral:rRNA from 1 species